rfam:Brassica napus, WGS project CCCW01000000 data, contig: 11326
ACAAAGAGAGCAUAUUAAGAUAGCCAAGGAGACUGCCUGAAACAUAGACCUCAAGAUUCAAUCAACUUUUAACAAACUGUUUUAAGAAUGCUAGUUAUUGAUUUGAAACACACACAGAAGAUUGAAUCAUUGGGAAGAACUAAACGCAGGCAAGUCAUCCUUGGCUACUAUAUAUCAGACUCUCUUCU